GCAAACUUGGUCAUUUAGAGGAAGUAAAAGUCGUAACAAGGUUUCCGUAGGUGAACCUGCGGAAGGAUCAUUAACAAAAUUUUUUUGAGUCAUUUUUAUGGUUCAAAAAAAAAUAUAUAUAUACACUCACCAUUUGUGCAAUUACAGAGAAAAAGUUAAUCUUGGGGAGAUGAGUUUCUUUGAUUUCAUCUCCCAAAGGUGUUUAACGCAUAAAACUUUUUUUUUUUCUAUUGCUAUUGUCUUAACAUAUAAUAUUUUAAUAAAAACAACUUUCAACAACGGAUCUCUUGGCUCUCGCAUCGAUGAAGAACGCAGC
rnacentral:misc_RNA from 1 species